UACAGAGGUCCCGAGCGUUGUUCGGAUUCAUUGGGCGUAAAGGGUGCGUAGGCGGCGGGGCAAGUCUGAUGUGAAAUCCCGGGGCUCAACCCCGGAACUGCAUUGGAUACUGCCUUGCUCGAGUACUGGAGAGGGAACUGGAAUUUACGGUGUAGCAGUGAAAUGCGUAGAUAUCAGGAGGAACACCGGUGGCGAAGGCGGGUCUCUGGGCCGAUACUGACGCUGAGGAGCGAAAGCGUGGGGAGCGAACAGG
rnacentral:rRNA from 1 species